GUGUCAGCAGCCGCGGUAAUACGAAGGGUGCAAGCGUUACUCGGAAUUACUGGGCGUAAAGCGUGCGUAGGUGAUUCGUUAAGUCUGAUGUGAAAGCCCUGGGCUCAACCUGGGAAUUGCAUUGGAAACUGGCGGGCUAGAGUACGGUAGAGGGUAGUGGAAUUCCUGGUGUAGCAGUGAAAUGCGUAGAGAUCAGGAGGAACAUCCGUGGCGAAGGCGACUACCUGGACCAGUACUGACACUGAGGCACGAAAGCGUGGGGAGCGAACAGGAUUAGAAACCCCAGUAGUCC
rnacentral:rRNA from 1 species